GAUGAAGAACGUAGCGAAAUGCGAUAAGUAAUGUGAAUUGCAGAAUUCAGUGAAUCAUCGAAUCUUUGAACGCACAUUGCGCCCGCUAGUAUUCUGGCGGGCAUGCCUGUCCGAGCGUCAUUUCAACCCUCAAGCCCCCGGGCUUGGUGUUGGGGAUCGGCGAGCCUCCGCGCCCGCCGUCCCCUAAAUCUAGUGGCGGUCUCGCUGUAGCUUCCUCUGCGUAGUAGCACACCGCGCACUGGGAAACAGCGCGGCCACGCCGUUAAACCCCCAACUUCUGAACGUUUGACCUCGGAUCAGGUAGGAAUACCCGCUGAACUUAAGCAUAUCAAUAAGCGGAGGA
rnacentral:misc_RNA from 1 species